AUUGAACGCUGGCGGCGUGCUUUACACAUGCAAGUCGAACGGUAACAGGCCUUCGGGUGCUGACGAGUGGCGAACGGGUGAGUAAUGCAUCGGAACGUACCCAGAGGUGGGGGAUAACGCAGCGAAAGCUGUGCUAAUACCGCAUGUGAUCUGAGGAUGAAAGCGGGGGACCGAGCAGCAAUGUUUGGCCUCGCGCCUUUGGAGCGGCCGAUGUCGGAUUAGCUAGUUGGUGGGGUAAAGGCCUACCAAGGCGACGAUCCGUAGCUGGUCUGAGAGGACGACCAGCCACACUGGGACUGAGACACGGCCCAGACUCCUAAGGGAGGCAGCAGUGGGGAAUGUUGGACAAUGGGCGCAAGCCUGAUCCAGCAAUGCCGCGUGCGGGAAGAAGGCCUUCGGGUUGUAAACCGCUUUUGGCAGGAACGAAACGGUGUCCGCUAAUACCGGGCGCUAAUGACGGUACCUGCAGAAUAAGCACCGGCUAACUACGUG
rnacentral:rRNA from 1 species